rnacentral:rRNA from 1 species
GAUGAACGCUGGCGGCGUGCUUAACACAUGCAAGUCGAACGAGAAAUGUAGACGGAAACCUUCGGGCGGAAGCCUUCAUUUCGAGUGGCGGACGGGUGAGUAACGCGUGGGUAACCUGCCUCAUACAGGGGGAUAACAGUUGGAAACGACUGUUAAUACCGCAUAAGACCACAGCAUCGCAUGAUGCGGGGGUAAAAACUCCGGUGGUAUGAGAUGGACCCGCGUUCGAUUAGCCAGUUGGCGGGGUAACGGCCCACCAAAGCGACGAUCGAUAGCCGAUCUGAGAGGAUGACCGGCCACAUUGGGACUGAGACACGGCCCAAACUCCUACGGGAGGCAGCAGUGGGGAAUAUUGCACAAUGGGGGAAACCCUGAUGCAGCGACGCCGCGUGAGUGAAGAAGUACUUCGGUAUGUAAAGCUCUAUCAGCAGGGAAGGAAAUGACGGUACCUGAGUAAGAAGCCCCGGCUAACUACGUG